rnacentral:misc_RNA from 1 species
UACAGAGGGUGCAAACGUUGUUCGGAUUUACUGGGCGUAAAGCGCGUGUAGGCGGCUUGGCAAGUCGGAUGUGAAAUCCCGGGGCUCAACCCCGGAAGUGCAUUCGAAACUGCCUCGCUAGAGUUCUGGAGAGGAAGGUGGAAUGCUUGGUGUAGAGGUGAAAUUCGUAGAUAUCAAGCGGAACACCGGUGGCGAAGGCGACCUUCUGGACAGUGACUGACGCUGAGACGCGAAAGCGUGGGGAGCAAACAGG